CUCCAUUGUCAGUGUCACGCUUCUUCUUUGGGCCUACUUCGACAGCGUAUGGUUGCAGCUACAGACUAGAGAAAACGGGCGAAGAUAUCUGGAUAAUGAUGGCGGAUCUUCAAACUUGGAAUCUAUUGAAUUAGUUCAGUUAGAAAGUUUUGCCAACAACCGAAGUGAGUCGACAGCCUUUGGUUUGAAUGAAUGGAUUCCACACAUGAUGACCCCUCAUAACCCUUUUUGGAGUGCAUCGCUACUGGCAGUUUACACCUCAAUUAGCCUAAAUUUCCUAUUCAUCUUCCUUUUUAUACCAACUUUGUUCAGUCUUUCAGUGUGCAAAUUCGAGAAAAGACCAAAAAUGUUCCGCCGUUUUUGUGUUUUCUGCCAAAUCAUCACGGUAGCAGUUUUCGUUCUAAUGGUAUCCGUUUUUGUGUGCUUUGGAAUUGGAAUUGACCAUGAUGUAAUCACAAGUGAAGACCAGCUUGAUUACGUAAUUAAUUGUGGAAAUCCGGCAUCCUUUCAACCCGACUUGUGUGAAUUUUCAUUGGGCUUUUAUAAAUCAAUUUGGGCUGCAACUGCUCAAUUGUUGGCUCUUUUUCACUGUUUGGCCGCCUGUUUCUUCGACUUACAGCCUAAUGAUAAAAAAUACAGAACAGAACAAAUGUGGUACAAACUAAGUUUGGAUGACCCCCGAAUGCGAGAGGUGUGAGAGAGGAUCAACAGUAUCAGAGGCAGACUGUCCGGAAUAUCCUUCGGAAUCAGCCAGUCCGAUAGGGACCGACCCAUCCGAAUGUCAAGGGUGGGAGAAGAGAGUCAUAGACAGAGACAGGGUAAGGGGCGGGGGCGAUCGG